GAGAAGAAUUAAUUUACUCUUUAAAUUUUAUUUCUAAUGGCAUACCUAUGUAAUUACUUACAAAAAAUAAGGUUAUAUUUAAAAUGUACAUCCCAAAUAAUAUAGUAGGAAUAUCAACAAAACAUAUACAACUCGCAGUUUACUAUACAUUUAAAAUCAAAUAAAAUAAUAUCAUAUAUUUAUAAUCAUCUUUACAAUAAAAGUUUUUAGUUUAGCUAAAAUAUAAGCAUACAUGCGGUAUACUGCAAGUUAAAAUUAUAAAUAAACAGAUUACCAUCACGAUGUCUGUACCUUCUCACAUACAUACCUAUCAAAAACUUAAAACCUUUCAAAAUCUCUUGGUAUAUUCAAAUUAGGAUUCUUCAUUCAUAGAAUCAUUAUUGCAAGAGUUUUGGGAUGUCUUAUGAAAUGAAUUUGGCAGAAGAGGAUGUAAAAUUUUUUGAAUAAAAAGUAGUCAGCAAAACAUAUGUUUUUUUUGGAGUUUUUAGAUAAUUAAAUCAGAGAAAUAGGGUUAGGCAUAUGAGUAACCCAUUCGAGUUUGGGUUUGGGAUUAAUGGGUAUAUGAUUUACUACCCAAUAGAAUAAUUCUAAAUAUUCGGUUCUGGUUUGGGUUGGAUCCAGUUGGGUUUGGGUCAGUUUGGAUAAAAAGGUUUAGACCCUAAAAAUACCCAAAAAAUAGAAACGGAAAAUUUGUAUGUAGAUAGCGGGUCUCCAAACAAAAAAAACUUUUAAAUUUGUUAAGUUUUAAUAAAUUUAAUUAUAUUUGAAUAUAUUUUACUAAAUUUUGACAAACAUAACAAAUAAUUUUUGAAUAGUUUAGUUGUUUUGGAUAUUUAGGUCCAAAAUUAAUUGACAUAUUUAGAUUUAUAAUUAUAAUCUUAGAUAAUUAGAUAAUGUUACGAU
rnacentral:sRNA from 1 species